UAACGCGAAGAACCUUACCAGGCCUUGACAUCCAAUGAACUUUCUAGAGAUAGAUUGGUGCCUUUGGGAACAUUGAGACAGGUGCUGCAUGGCUGUUGUCAGCUCGUGUCGUGAGAUGUUGGGUUAAGUCCCGUAACGAGCGCCACCCUUGUCCUUAGUUACCAGCACGUAAUGGUGGGCACUCUAAGGAGACUGCCGGUGUCAAACCGGAGGAAGGUGGGGAUGACGUCAAGUCAUCAUGGCCCUUACGGCCUGGGCUACACACGUGCUACAAUGGUCGGUACAGAGGGUCGCCAAGCCGCGAGGUCGAGCUAAUCCCAUAAAACCGAUCGUAGUCCGGAUCGCAGUCUGCAACUCGACUGCGUGAAGUCGGAAUCGCUAGUAAUCGCGAAUCAGAAUGUCGCGGUGAAUA
rnacentral:rRNA from 1 species